ACCCUCGCAGGGUCGAACCUGGAGAGUUUCCAGGAAUCUACCAGUCUCGACUAGGGAAGGGAGAGUCAAGCAGAGGAUUACGCAUUCCAUUCUUAGCUUAGGCAGUGGCUAGCGAGUGGAAGGCAAUCUGCUACAAGU